rnacentral:rRNA from 1 species
UACAGAGGUGGCAAGCGUUGUUCGGAAUUACUGGGCAUAAAGCGCGCGUAGGCGGCUUGCAAGUCGGUGUGAAAUCCCCAGGCUUAACCUGGGAACUGCAUUCGAGACUGCAUUGCUAGAGUAUGGGAGAGGGAAGUGGAAUUUCCGGUGUAGCGGUGAAAUGCGUAGAUAUCGGAAGGAACAUCAGUGGCGAAAGCGACUUCCUGGACCAAUACUGACGCUCAUGUGCGAAAGCGUGGGAGCAAACAGG